rnacentral:misc_RNA from 1 species
GAGUUCGGGUCUCAGUAGAACCACCA